CAACUUUCUCAGGAAGAUACUUAAAUUUUUUCUCACACCAUCCCCUGUGUCAUAAAAAGGGUAUUAUUUUUGGUAUGGUUGACAAAUUACUGUUAUUAUCACAUCCUCAAUUCCACCACUCAAACACCUUUUUUAUAAAGAUGACACCUGCGUGGAUGAUAAACGUGUGAGAAGAUUUUUUAUGAUCCCUUACAUCGAGUCUGUAUCAGAAAAAUUUUCAUCUUUCUCAUGACAGACGAAACGCCAAUUAAAAACAAGAGUUAGCGAACAUAAAGCAGACAUUAGGAAGGCCAGUUCUCCUUCAGUUAUUUCGUUACACCGCAUCGGAGAAAAUCACCAAUUCGAUUGGGAAAACGUGGAAAUUUUAGACAAGGAACCAUAUAAUGUCAAAAGAUCUAUAUCUGUGAUGCUACACAUCAAAAAUCAAAUGCACGGACUCAAUAAACAAAGCGACACGGAACUUCUCUCGGAUGCGUAUCUUCCUAUC
rnacentral:lncRNA from 13 species